AGGGUUCGAUUCUGGCUCAGGAUGAACGCUGACAGAAUGCUUAACACAUGCAAGUCUACUUGAUCCUUCGGGUGAUGGUGGCGGACGGGUGAGUAACGCGUAAAGAACUUGCCUUGCAGUCUGGGACAACGUCUGGAAACGGACGCUAAUACCGGAUAUUAUGAUUGAAUCGCAUGAUUUAAUUAUGAAAGCUAUAUGCGCUGCGAGAGAGCUUUGCGUCCCAUUAGUUAGUUGGUGAGGUAACGGCUCACCAAGACGAUGAUGGGUAGCCGGCCUGAGAGGGUGAACGGCCACAAGGGGACUGAGACACGGCCCUU
rnacentral:rRNA from 1 species